rnacentral:lncRNA from 1 species
AUUUGCUAAAACUUACAUUCUCAUGGGAAUUUAUUUACAUCUACUUGAUUUCUGUCUCCUUGUUGUAAACAACAUAUAUAAACUGAACUCAUUACAUGUAGUUGGGAUACAGUCAGGGAGAUAAAACAAUAAGUAUUUCAAACAGGAAAUUUAACAUAAAUUGAUUAUGCAGGUGAUACAUGAGUCAAGAAACCAAGACGGAUUACCAGGACAACCUAGAGAGUAGCAGCAACAGGAAGCUUCUGUCACCCUUAGGGUGAAAAGGGUUACCCAAAAGGUAGAAUUUCCAGAACUCAGAUGCCCAGGCUCCCCAAAGAGAAUUAGAUAGCUGGGGCAGGAGCUGGAACCAAGGACAGAAAGCUUGUCUGGUAGGAACUGAAGUCCUAGAGGUGAUCUGGUCACUAUGAGAAAUAUUGCUUGAGCCAAAGUGAGAGGGAAAAAAUAUGGACGUCUCCCUUUCCCUCAGUGUCUGCCAUUGUCCAAACUGUCGAAAAACCAGUGGGCAAAGGAUUCUGGGUAACACAAUGUUCCGUGAUACAGAGGGUAACUCUAAGAGCAAACAGAUGAUCAGCAGAACCACCAAGGCCUGUCUCCAAAAUUACUCCUCUUCCAGCCUUCAUAGUUAAAAGUAUCUUUUAUCUACUUUGUUGCUUAAACAAAGGCCCUUGUAUUUAUCAUUGACUUCCGUGGUUCCCUGUAUAGGAUCAAUUGCUAAAUUCUAAUGAAUCUGCCUUAGAGACAUCUCUUUACUUUCUUUCCAUCUCUUCCUCUUUUUUUGUCCUAGGC